rnacentral:tRNA from 1 species
CGUCCAUACAGGGAAUCAAACCCUGAUCUAAAACUUAGGAGGUUUUUGUUUUUUCAUUAAACUAUACGGAC